GGGGGACGAGGGAUCAGGUUGGGAAUGUUAGGGUUUCUAAACUUGGAAUUUUCUUUUGGAGUAUGUAUCUAAUUUGUUCUUUGGAAGGAUGUUGGUUCUGGUGAUCACGAUUAGGGGUGGUCCUUUCUUGAUCUUUUUCCAUGAAUUUGUUUUUUCGUUUUGGGUUCAUUUGAUUUGCGAUAAUGGGUUCCAUGGUUGUUGUUGUUGGAUGCACGGGUGGCGCCAAUGAAGGUGCUGGUAGGUGGCCAUGGGUGGUGUUUCUGGGUGGUUGCUGGAAUAGAAGAUGAACAACGAUAGUGGUGGCGCUCUAUGGUGGCCGAUUAAAGUGUCCACGUAGUUAAAUGACAUGUCAUUCACUGAUUGCACAACUGGACAUUUGGUUGUUAACGAUUUAAACGGUGUUUGCAAAAAGGACUAAAUUGAAUACAAAUUACGAUCAUUAGGAUUGCAUUGAACAUUUAAAAAAAUUAAAAUCAUUUUAAAGAAAGCUAACAAAAAUUGGAACCAACAAUGGUAUUAAGCCUAAAUUUUAUAAAUGAUUUUGUUUUAACAAAAUUAACUCAAACUAUAUCUUAAUUAAAAAGAUGAAAGUUC
rnacentral:lncRNA from 1 species